rnacentral:rRNA from 1 species
GACGAACGCUGGCGGCGUGCUUAACACAUGCAAGUCGAACGGCAGCACGGGUGCUUGCACCUGGUGGCGAGUGGCGAACGGGUGAGUAAUACAUCGGAACGUACCUUAUCGUGGGGGAUAACGCAGCGAAAGCUGUGCUAAUACCGCAUACGCCCGGAGGGGGAAAGCGGGGGAGCGCAAGAACUCGCGCGAGUAGAGCGGGCGAUGCCUGAUUAGCUUGUGGGUGGGGUAAAAGCCCACCAAGGCGACGAUCAGUAGCUGGUCUGAGAGGACGAUCAGCCACACUGGGACUGAGACACGGCCCAGACUCCUACGGGAGGCAGCAGUGGGGAAUUUUGGACAAUGGGGGCAACCCUGAUCCAGCAAUGCCGCGUGAGUGAAGAAGGCCUUCGGGUUGUAAAGCUCCUUUGUCAGGGAAGAAACACCGGCUCUAACACAGUCCGGGAAUGACGGUACCUGAAGAAUAAGCACCGGCUAACUACGUGCCAGCAGCCGCCGUAA